UUCCAUGAAGUCAGCAUUAGGGUUUUAAACCCUAAACUGAAUUUUCCUUUUAAUCAGCAUUAGGGUUUUAAACCCUAAACUGAACUUUUCCUUUUAGUCAGCAUUAGGGUUUUAAACCCUAAACUGAACUUUUUUCCAUUCAGCCAGCAUUAGGGUUUUAAACCCUAAACUGAGCUUUUCCAUGCAAUCAGCAUUAGGGUUUUAAACCCUAAACUGAAUUUUCCCUUCAGUCAGCAUUAGUGUUUUAAACAUAAACUGAACUUUUUUCCUUUAGUCAGCAUUAGGGUUUUAAACCCUAAAUUGAACUUUUCAUUUAGUCAGCAUUAGGGUUUUUAAACCCUAAACUGAACUUUCCAGCCAGUCAGCAUUAGGGUUUUAAACCCUAAACUGAACUCUUUUCCAUUCAGUCAGCAUUAGGGUUUUAAACCCUAAACUGAACUUUUCCUUUAAUCAGCAUUAGGGUCUUAAACCCUAAACUGAAUUUUUCCUUUCAGUCAGCAUUAGGGUUUUAAACCCUAAACUGAACUUUUCCUUUAGUCAGCAUUAGGGUUUUAAACCCUAAACUGAACUUUUUCCUUUCAGUCAGCAUUAGGGUUUUAAACCCUAAACUGAAUUUUCCCUUUAGUCAGCAUUAGGGUUUUA
rnacentral:lncRNA from 1 species